AGUUCGAUUCUGGCUCGGAAUUGAACGCUGGCGGGAUGCUUUACACAUGCAAGUCGAACGGCAGCGCGGACUUCGAUGCGGUGGCGAUGGCGAACGGGUGAGUAAUGUAUCGGAACGUGCCUGGCGUGGCGGGGGAUAAACUGCGAAAAGGCGUAGCUAAUACCACAACCGCCCCUUCGAGGGGAAAGCAGGGACCUUCCGGGCCCUCGCACUAAUGAAACGGCCGAUAUCGGAUUAGCUGAACGGUGGGGUAACGGCUCACCAAGGCGACGAUCCGUAGCUGGUUUGAGAGGACAUUUGACCAGCCACACUGGGACUGAGACACAGCCAGACUCCCUACAGGAGGGCAGCGUUGGGGGAAUUUUGGACAAUGGGGAAACCUGAUCCAGCCAUCCCGCGUGCGAUGAAGGCCUUCAGGUUUGUAACUUUUUGGCAGGAAAGAAACGGCACGGGAUAAUACCCCGUGCAACUGACGGUACCUGCAGAAUAAGCACCGGCUAACUGCGUGCCAGCAGCGCGGUAAUACGUAGGGUGCAAGCGUUAAUCGGAAUUACUGGGCGUAAAGCGUGCGCAAACGGUUGGAAGAAAAGAUGUGAAAUCCCAGAGCUUAACUUUGGAACUGCAUUUUUAACUACCGAGCUGGAGACAAUAAUCAGGAGACAAUUCCGCGUGUAGCAGUAGAAAUGCGUAGAUUGCGGAGGAACACAAGCGAUGGCGAAACAACCUCUGGAAGAUAACAUGACGCUCUUGCAGCGAUGAGCAAACAGGAUUAGAUACCCUGGUAGUCACGCCCUAAACGAUAUCCAACUAGCUGUUGGGGCCUUCGCGUUGCAGUAGCGCAACUAACGUGUGAAGUUAAGCACGCCUAAGUCUGAUCCUGGAAUUAAAACUCAAAAGGAAUUGACGGGGACCCGCACAAGCGGUGGAUGAUGUGGAUUAAUUCGAUGCAACGCGAAAAACACCACCUACCCUUGACGUAUCUGCGGAAUCCAGAAAGUUGGGAGUGCUCAUAAAGAGAACAGACUGGUGCUGCAUGGCUGUCGUCAGCUCGUGUCGUGAGAUCGGUUAAAUUCCCGCAACGAGCGCAACCCUUGUCGUGAUUGCUGAAGGGGGCAUCUAAUGAGACUGCCGGUGACAAACCGGAGGAAGAGCGAGGAUGACGUCAAGUCCUCUAUGGCCCUUAUGGUAGGGCUUCACACGUCAUACAAUGGUCGGGACAGAGGUCGCCAACCCGCGAGAGGUAAUCCCAGAGAAACCCGAUCGUAGUCGGAUCGCGGUCUGCAACUCGACUGCGUGAAGUCGAAUCCUUCAGUAAUCGCGGAUCAGCAUGUCGCGGUGAAUACGUUCCCGGGUCUUAUACACACCGCCCGUCACACCAUGGGAGUGGGUCUUACCAGAAGUAGUUAGCCCUAACCAUCAAGGAGGGCGAUUACCACGGUAGGAUUCAUGACUGGGGUGAAGUCGUAACAAGGUAGC
rnacentral:rRNA from 1 species